AAAAAUUUAGUUAAUCUAGUAUAACAUCAAUUUGUCAAAUUGAAAUAAAUAAUUCUUAUUAAUUUUUU
rnacentral:tRNA from 1 species